rnacentral:rRNA from 1 species
UACGUAGGCAGCGAGCGUUGUUCGGAGUUACUGGGCGUAAAGAGUGCGUAGGCGGUUUUCUAAGUUUGGUGUGAAAUCUCCCGGCUUAACUGGGAGGGUGCGCCGAAAACUGGAAGGCUUGAGUAUGGGAGAGGUAAGCGGAAUUCCUGGUGUAGCGGUGAAAUGCGUAGAUAUUGGGAGGAACACCGGUGGCGAAGGCGGCUACCUGGACCGGUUCUGACGCUGAUGCGCGAAAGCGUGGGGAGCAAACAGG